AAUGAACGCUGGCGGCGUGGAUUAGGCAUGCAAGUCGAACGCGAAAGUUCCCUUCGGGGAGCGAGUAGAGUGGCGAAAGGGUGAGUAAUGCUUGGAUGACCUGCCCUCGAGACGGGGACAACAGUUCGAAAGGACUGCUAAUACCCGAUAGUCCGGUUUAGAUGCGUCUAGAUCGGUAAAUGGUGCUUCCGCUCGAGGAGGGGUUCAAGUCCUAUCAGCUUGUUGGUGAGGUAACGGCUCACCAAGGCGAUGACGGGUAGCCGGACUGAGAGGUUGGCCGGCCACAUGGGAACUGAGACACUGUCCUGACUCCUACGGGAGGCUGCAGUCGAGAAUCUUCUGCAAUGGGCGAAAGCCUGACAGAGCGACGCCGCGUGGAGGAUGAAGGCCCUCGGGUCGUAAAGCUCUUUCGGCCGGGAAGAAAUCGCACAGGUUAAUACCCUGUGUGGAUGACGGUACCGGAAUAAGAAGCACCGGCUAACUACGUGCCAGCAGCCGCGGUUAA
rnacentral:rRNA from 1 species